rnacentral:rRNA from 1 species
ACUCAAAGGAAUAGACGGGGGCCCGCACAAGCGGUGGAGCAUGUGGUUUAAUUCGACGCAACGCGAAGAACCUUACCCAGGCUUGACAUCCCUUGACCGCUAUAGAAAUAUGGCUUUCACCGCAAGGUGACAAGGAGACAGGUGCUGCAUGGCUGUCGUCAGCUCGUGCCGUGAGGUGUUGGGUUAAGUCCCGCAACGAGCGCAACCCUCGUCGUGUGUUGGUCCAAAAGAUCUCUCACGCGAGACCGCCGGUGAGAAGCCGGAGGAAGGUGGGGAUGACGUCAAGUCAGCAUGGCCCUUACGUCUGGGGCUACACACGUGCUACAAUGGGUGCGACAACGAGUUCCAAGCUCGCGAGGGUAAGGCAAUCUCUUAAACGCAUCCUCAGUUCGGAUUGAAGGCUGCAACUCGCCUUCAUGAAGUCGGAAUCGCUAGUAAACGCAGAUCAGCUACGCUGCGUUGAAUACGUUCCCGGGCCUUGCACACACCGCCCGU